rnacentral:rRNA from 1 species
CUCGUAGGCGGUUCGUCGCGUCCGGUGUGAAAGUCCAUCGCUUAACGGUGGAUCCGCGCCGGGUACGGGCGGGCUUGAGUGCGGUAGGGGAGGCUGGAAUUCCCGGUGUAACGGUGGAAUGUGUAGAUAUCGGGAAGAACACCAAUGGCGAAGGCAGGUCUCUGGGCCGUUACUGACGCUGAGGAGCGAAAGCGUGGGGAGCGAACA